UGGGGAAUUUUGCGCAAUGGGGGAAACCCUGACGCAGCAAUACCGCGUGGGUGAAGAAGGAUUUUGGUUCGUAAAGCCCUUUGUCUCAGGGAAGAUAAUGACGGUACCUGAGGAAUAAGCACCGGCUAACUCCGUGCCAGCAGCCGCGGUAAUACGGAGGGUGCAAGCGUUGUUCGGAUUUACUGGGCGUAAAGAGCGCGUAGGCGGUUAUACAAGCUAAGGGUGAAAUCCCAGAGCUUAACUUUGGAACUGCUCUUAGAACUGUAUAACUAGAGGUUGUUAGAGGUAGAUGGAAUUCCUGGUGUAGAGGUGAAAUUCGUAGAUAUCAGGAGGAACACCGGCGGCGAAGGCGGUCUACUGGAACACACCUGACGCUGAGGCGCGAAAGCAAGGGUAGCAAACAGG
rnacentral:rRNA from 1 species